GUUUUAGCGGACUUACAGCGGAGCAAUCCCUGUAACCAUCCCUAUAACCAUCGCGAACGCUACCCCCGACCGUUGCCUCGGCGGGCGGCGCCCUCCCCCCGCGGGGAGGCGCCCCCGCCGCGGGAGCGCAGACAAACUCUUUUUGGCAGCCAUUGUCUCUCUGAGUACGAUUCUAACGAGUCA
rnacentral:misc_RNA from 1 species